GGUAGCUAAAUGCGGAAGAGAUAAGUGCUGAAAGCAUCUAAGCACGAAACUUGCCCCGAGAUGAGUUCUCCCUGACUCCUUGAGAGUCCUGAAGGAACGUUGAAGACGACGACGUUGAUAGGCCGGGUGUGUAAGCGCAGCGAUGCGUUGAGCUAACCGGUACUAAUGAACCGUGAGGCUUAACCUUACAACGCCGAAG
rnacentral:rRNA from 1 species